UUCUUUUGUUUUUAGUAUCAUUAGGGAAUGGGUUUUCCCUUCCCCUGGUUCUGGGUCAACAGGUACCACAGAUAUUUGCAUUCCUUGUAUAACCGAGUGUAUUAAUCUGGUAAAACAGGGCAUUAAGCAUUUAAUUAUUAACAAUCCUCCACAUAUUCCAAAUACAACUAUCCCGAUCUUAGCAAACCAAUGACCCCC